CGAAGGGGGCUAGCGUUGCUCGGAAUCACUGGGCGUAAAGGGCGCGUAGGCGGCCCUGUUGGUCGGGCGUGAAAUCCCUGGGCUCAACCCGGGGGCUGCGCCCGAAACGGCGGGGCUAGAGGAUGGAAGAGGCUCGCGGAAUUCCCAGUGUAGAGGUGAAAUUCGUAGACUAUUGGGGAAGAACACCCGGUGGCGAAGGCGGCGAGCUGGUCCAUUACUGACGCUGAGGCGCGACAGCGUGGGGAGCAAACAGGAUU
rnacentral:rRNA from 1 species